UACGGAGGGCGCAAGCGUUGUUCGGAAUUACUGGGCGUAAAGCGCGUGUAGGCGGCUAAGCAAGUCGGUUGUGAAAGCCCAGGGCCCAACCCUGGAAUUGCGUCCGAAACUGCUUGGCUAGAGUCCUGGAGAGGAAGGCAGAAUUCCCAGUGUAGGGGUGAAAUCCGUAGAUACUGGGAGGAAUACCCGUAGCGAAGGCGGCCUUCUGGACAGUGACUGACGCUCAGACGCGAAAGCGUGGGGAGCAAACAGGAUUAGAUACCCUGGUAGUCCACGCUGUAAACGUUGUGUACUAGGUGUCGGGGGUAUUCACCCCUCCGGUGCCGCCGCUAACGCAUUAAGUACACCGCCUGGGGAGUACGGCCGCAAGGCUAAA
rnacentral:rRNA from 1 species